GUUUAGAGGUUAUCCAAAUUCAAUUUAAGUUGUAUUAAUGACAACUGCAUGUACUUGUCAAAGUUUGAAUUGUACCUUGAGGUUGUCUAGUCAAGUCCAACCCAAGUUAAGCUUGAGUUACUCAAGUUGCAAGGAUUGUACAUAAUUUUAUUUUAUUUUAUUAUUUUGUGUGAUGGAUCUAGGGGGGGCAGAGGGGGGCGGCCGCACCCCCAAAAAUUUGAAAAAUAUCAUAUAUUAUACUAGAAAUUUUAAAAUAAUUUAAAAUUAUAGGAGUUCGCACCCCCAAAUUUUUUUUAGAUAAUUUCAAAAUUAUAUAGAGUAGGCCCCCAAUUUCUUAAACUAUUUGAAUUUUUUUUUUUUUGAAUUAGUUAACAUAUAUAAUAAUCUAUUUUAAAUUCCAUGUAUAUGUAUUUUUUAAAUUAGGUUAAGAUGAAAGCAAAAUUUUAGAAACUUUAAUGGGCCAAAGUGUAAAAUAUGAAACUUUUACAAAUAUAUAAAUUAUAAGGCUUGCUGGAGAAGUUUGUUCAAACAAAGCACCAAGAUUAAAAAAAGAAAAGAAAACAACUGAUCUGAAAGACUUGUUGCGAUUCGAAAGAGAGGAGGGGAGGGAAGAGAUGAGGGAAGAAACGGAGAAGCUUUGUUGUCAGACUUCGUCAGAGCUGGUCGGCGUAGACAGUGUCGUGGACUCUCACUGAGAGAGAGAGAGAGAGGGGGAAUGAUAAAAAGAGGCACAGAAAGACAUGUUGAAAAGAAAACUUGGAGAGACGGUGGCGGUGAGAGUAGUUGUGAUAGCAUAGUGGUGGUAGUGGAGGGAUGGUGAUAAUAGCUAUAGUGGUAACGUGAUGGUUGUGGUGGUGGUGGUGGUGGCGGUGGCAAUAGUUGUAGUGGUAGUAGAGGUAGAGGGGUGGCAGUAGUGGUGGAAGCUGUAGUGGCGGCGGUGGUGGUAAGAGUGGUGGUGGUAAUGGAAGCAAUGAUAAGAUCAUAACCAUGUUGACAUGUAUGUAUAAAUAUUUAUAAAUUCAAUCAUAAUUAAGUUAUCAUUUAAUUUUUUCUUCAUUUUUAGCCUAUAUUUUCAUUUUAAGAGCUAUUUAAAAUGAAAAAAAAAAAAGAUUCAUUUAAAUUAUUAAGUGAUACUAAUUGUGAUUAUAAAAUAAAUUUUAUAAAUUUUUUACUUAAUAUAUUUAAAUUUAAAUAUUGAAUUAAGUUAUCAAAUAUCAACUAAAGCACCCUUCUGUCUACUAAUUCACAAAAUAAAGCACAUGGGUCACUAAUUGUGGGUGUUUAAGAAGUUGUUAUUUUAGUAGGCUAUUUUUGUUUUUGAUUAUUUUAGUAGGGUAAAAUUUUUGUGUUUAGGAAAAUGAUUGAAUUUUUUUAUAGUUGGAUGUGAUGUUUGUGAGAGAAAAAUUGAAAUGUUAUUGAUUUGAUGUGACAUUUUAUUUAAUUAACUAUUUUAAUCUAUUUUGUCUUUUUGUGACUUUUAACCUGUUAGGCUAAAAUUUUUCUUCCCAUAGAGUGUUUGGCAAAGACUAUUUUUUGGACUAAAAUUUACAAAAAAACAAAAUAGGCUAAAAUAACCAAUAAGGCAAAAUGUUACAUUAAACC